rnacentral:rRNA from 1 species
UACGAAGGGGGCUAGCGCUGUUCGGAAUUACUGGGCGUAAAGCGCACGUAGGCGGAUCGAUCAGUCAGGGGUGAAAUCCCAGGGCUCAACCCUGGAACUGCCUUUGAUACUGUCGAUCUGGAGUAUGGAAGAGGUGAGUGGAGUUCCGAGUGUAGAGGUGAAAUUCGUAGAUAUUCGGAGGAACACCAGUGGCGAAGGCGGCUCACUGGUCCAUUACUGACGCUGAGGUGCGAAAGCGUGGGGAGCAAACAGG